GACGAACGCUGGCGGCGUGCUUAACACAUGCAAGUCGAACGGAGAGGCCCUGCCUUUGUGGGGUGCUCGAGUUGCGAACGGGUGAGUAACACGUGAGUAACCUGCCCUUGACUUUGGGAUAACUUCUGGAAACUGGGGCUAAUACCGGAUAGGAGCUCCUGCUGCAUGGUGGUGGCUGGAAAGUUUCGGUGGUUGGGGAUGGACUUGCGGCUUAUGAGCUUGUUGGUCGGGUAGUGGCUUACCACGGCCUUGACGGGUAGCCGGCCUGAGAGUGUGACCGGCCACAUUGGGACUGAGGUACGGCCCAGACUGAUACGGGAGGCAUCAGUGGGAAAUAGUGCACGAUGGGCGGAAGCCGGAUACAGCAACGCCGCGUGCGAGAUGACGGUCUUCGGGUUGGAAACCGCUUUCGCCUGUAACGAAGCGUGAGUGACGGUAAUGGAUAAAGAAGCACCGGCUAACUACGUG
rnacentral:rRNA from 1 species